rnacentral:rRNA from 1 species
UACGUAGGGUGCGAGCGUUAAUCGGAAUUACUGGGCGUAAAGCGUGCGCAGGCGGUUGGCAAAGUCAGCUGUGAAAUCCCCGGGCUUAACCUGGGAACUGCAUUUGUGACUGCAUCGCUGGAGUACGGCAGAGGGGGAUGGAAUUCCGCGUGUAGCAGUGAAAUGCGUAGAUAUGCGGAGGAACACCGAUGGCGAAGGCAAUCCCCUGGGCCUGUACUGACGCUCAUGCACGAAAGCGUGGGGAGCAAACAGG